rfam:Tstilago maydis 521 chromosome 1, whole genome shotgun sequence.
AUCUGCGGCCACAGAGACUUGAAAAUACCGCAUCCCGUCCGAUCUGCGCAGUCAAGCAAGUCGUCGCCUCGUCAGUACUGCGGUGGGGGACCACGCGGGAAUCCGAGGUGCUGCAGUUC